UUUGGUCAAUUUGCUCUAGGAAAUGUACUUCUUCCCCUUUUGCUUUUUGUGUUUUUUUUUUCUUUUGUUAUAAAAUUUUUGAUAUAGAAAUACAUUUCCAAGUUAAAAAUAAGAUAUACUCCUUUAAAUAUAAAAUGGAAAUAGUUAAAAGCAUUGUUUCUCAUGAUUCUUAUAAGUUACUAUUAACUACUUGUUAAAAGAGAAUGCAAAUAAAUUUUAAUAAAAUUUUUCAUUAUUUUGUUUUCUUUUUUAGGCAUAGCUUUGUGUGAAAAAAGUUAUGCAUCACAAAACUGUUUCUCAGUAUAUCAUCCUAAUGCCACAAGUAUCUUAUAAAUAUAUUGACUGCUUUGUAAAUGAAAUAACAUUAGGAACAACCUCAAUGGACAUCAAUUAAGAAAGUAUUAACUAAAUUAUGGAAUAACUGAAUAAUAGAAUACCAUCAAACUAAACACACAAUGUUUGAUCUAGAUGACAAUAUAUCCUGAUUUCUUCUGAACAGUUCCAGUUUAUAAUGGCUUUUCAAACGUAAGUUUUAAAAGCACAGCCUCCCUUGUUUCAGAUGAUGAAAUAUAGUUGUUUUUGUUUGUAUAUAUGUAUAUAUGGUAUUUCCAAAAUAUAGUUCAUCAAAUCAAAUAUAG
rnacentral:lncRNA from 1 species